rnacentral:rRNA from 1 species
GGAAGUAAAAGUCGUAACAAGGUUUCCGUAGGUGAACCUGCGGAAGGAUCAUUAAUGAUUGCGAAUGGUUGCCUUCGGUGCUGGCUCUUGCAAGUGCACGUUGGUGGCUUUCAUCCAAUACCCCUGUGAACCUUUGGCCUCUUGCUAGCUUCGGCUGGCAGAGGAUUUUUACACACUCGAAUGUAAUGAAAACUAUUGUCGUGCGCAAGCACUAAUGUACAACUUUCAACAACGGAUCUCUUGGCUCUCGCAUCGAUGAAGAACGCAGCGAAAUGCGAUAAGUAAUGUGAAUUGCAGAAUUCAGUGAAUCAUCGAAUCUUUGAACGCACCUUGCACCCUUUGGUAUUCCGAAGGGUAUGCUCGUUUGAGUGUCAUUGUACUCUCACACUCUCUGAUCUUUUUGGAUUCAGGGAGCGGUGGACUUGGGUGUUUGCUGCUUACCUGCAGCUCACCUCAAAUGCGUCAGUGCACCUCUUGGUUGGACAUAGUACGGCGUGAUAAGUAUCUUCGCCGGCACCUCGCAAGAGGGUGGCCGAUUGGGAGCUCUGUGCUUUCAAACCGUCUUCGGACAAUUUCUGACAACUUGACCUCAAAUCGAGUAGGACUACCCGCUGAACUUAAGCAUA